rnacentral:rRNA from 1 species
GACGAACGCUGGCGGCGUGCUUAACACAUGCAAGUCGAACGGAAAGGCCCCUUUGGGGGUACUCGAGUGGCGAACGGGUGAGUAACACGUGAGUAACCUGCCCUUGACUUCGGGAUAACUUCAGGAAACUGGGGCUAAUACCGGAUAGGAAUCCUUGCUGCAUGGUGGGGGUUGGAAAGCUUCGGCGGUUUUGGAUGGACUCGCGGCUUAUCAGCUUGUUGGUGGGGUAGUGGCUUACCAAGGCUUUGACGGGUAGCCGGCCUGAGAGGGCGAUCGGCCACAUUGGGACUGAGAUACGGCCCAGACUCCUACGGGAGGCAGCAGUGGGGAAUAUUGCACAAUGGGCGGAAGCCUGAUGCAGCAACGCCGCGUGCGGGAUGACGGCCUUCGGGUUGUAAACCGCUUUCAGCAGGGGCGAAGCUUGUGGUGACGGUACCUGCAGAAGAAGCACCGGCUAACUACGUG